rnacentral:lncRNA from 1 species
GUGAAAGUCACCAGGAAAGAGGAACCUGGGGGCCAGGGGACUGCAAGGCGGCGCAGGCCAGCACCACGUCGAGUGCCUGGGUUGCUCAGCACCAUCGGAGCAGCCCAGGGGGUUGUGUUCGCCUCCCAGGAGGCCAAGGGCGACCCCAGGGACUUGCAGAAGAGUGUUGCAAAGGAAAACACCAAAUGUUUGAGAAGUUGUGUCGUGAUCGUGUGGAUACAGGUGUUGUCAUUGAUAGAGAAGUGCUACACAAUAAGACAGGCCCUUGCCUCGCCUCCAUUUGUUUUCCACAGAAUGUUUUCUUUGGACAUGUAAGUUUGUGCUGCUGGGCUCCUGCCCAAUGUAUCAAAAUGGUUUGUGGCUGUUUGAACUGUGUGACCUUUCAGGAAUGUUCUGUUAAACUCUGCCCCCUCACAAGAAGGUUCUGUUAAGCUCCGCUCCCUCUCAGUAAUGUUCUGUAACUCCGCCCCUUUGCUUCAGGAAUGUUCUGUAACUCUUCCUCCUGCUUCAUUGAGCAUGCUGGCCUACCCUGUAUAUCCCUAUAUAAGGAGGCUCUCAUUUCUGGUAGAGCACUCAAGACUCCUCUGAGCCCACCAGGAUUUGCUGGUGUAAUAAAGGUUUUUAUCUCCAC